GAUGAACGCUGGCGGCGUGCCUAAUACAUGCAAGUCGAGCGAACGGACGAGAAGCUUGCUUCUCUGAUGUUAGCGGCGGACGGGUGAGUAACACGUGGAUAACCUACCUAUAAGACUGGGAUAACUUCGGGAAACCGUAGCUAAUACCGGAUAAUAUUUUGAACCGCAUGGUUCAAAAGUGAAAGACGGUCUUGCUGUCACUUAUAGAUGGAUCCGCGCUGCAUUAGCUAGUUGGUAAGGUAACGGCUUACCAAGGCAACGAUGCAUAGCCGACCUGAGAGGGUGAUCGGCCACACUGGAACUGAGACACGGUCCAGACUCCUACGGGAGGUAGCAGUAGGGAAUCUUCCGCAAUGGGCGAAAGCCUGACGGAGCAACGCCGCGUGAGUGAUGAAGGUCUUCGGAUCGUAAAACUCUGUUAUUAGGGAAGAACAUAUGUGUAAGUAACUGUGCACAUCUUGACGGUACCUAAGCAGAAAGCCACGGCUAACUACGU
rnacentral:rRNA from 1 species